UCCCUGAGAUGUUCGGAUUCGGUAUUUCUCGGUCGGGGCCUAGGAAUCUGCUUUUAACGUGCACACACACGCCCUCCUUGAACAAUAGGAGCCCGGGAAAUUUGGGCAACAGCGGACCAAUCAAAUUUGUAUUAUGCCAAAAUGUAUGCAGAAAUGGAGACAUUUUGUAGCUAGAGGCUGGAGGCGGCUUUGAACACAGGUUUUCUGAAUACAAAUCUUGCAGCGUUUAACAAACCUCCUGAGAUCUAGCGGGCAUCACACACUAGGUCUUGCCUUCCUAGGACCUGUCCUUCUGAAACCAGGACUGUGGAGAUCCACCUUCUCUUUCUGGACAAACUCCUACUUAACCCUCAAGACCCAUUUCAAAAGUUUCCUACACUGUGAAACCUUUGCCAGUUUCCAGAGUGCAAAACAAAUUGCGUCUUUGCCAUGCCUCCAUCCUGGCCCUCCUCACAUCAUCUGGUAAUUGGGUCUGUUUAUGGUCUGUCUCCUUGGACAGCUUGGAAGUUUCUGGAGGUGCAACCAAUAUCUGCUGCACUCCCCUAACUUAGCAGUUCUCCAGGUGUGGUCUGCAGACUCCUGGGGGUCUGUGAAACUCUUUCAGGGGGUCCUUGAGGUCAAAACUGUUUUCAUAACUCUAGGACAUUAUUUGCGUCUUUCAUUCUAUUGACAUUUGUAGCAGUAGUGGGUGAAACUGCCGGCAUUGGCUUCAGUCAAGGAUAUGACAUCAAAAUGUACGUGGAAUCACAGUCAUACAGUUGCAUUAAAACACAUGCCAGCUCCACUUAAGAACAUCCUUAAUGAGGCAGUAAAAUGAUUAACUUCAUGAUAUCUUGACCCUUGCCUUUUUAAUAAUCCAUAUAAAGAAAAGUGGGAAGUACAUAUAAAGCACUUCAGCUGCGUACGAAAGCACCGUGGUUGAAGGUAACGUCGAGGAAAAGCACGUGUGAGAUUGAAUUGUGAGCGGAAUUAGUCGUUGCUUUUUCAUGACACAUGCUUUUUACUUGAAAGAACAACUGACAAACACCGUGGUUGUUCGGAUUUGGGCAUUUGGCAGAUGUCCUCUCAAAAAUGAAUUGAGUGAGCCUGUCACUUUAAGGAAAGCAGUAUUUGUUACCAAUGAGAAAGUUCAAGUUAGGUGGAAAUCAGAAGUUUGGUAAACGUGUUCUGCCAUUCUGAACUUGACAUCUUCUCAUUACAUGUCCUGGAAGAGAAUUGCAGUGAUACUAGUGAAUUGGAAUUUUUGAUACUGUAUAAUGAAAUGUGUAAAUGUUUGGAAGAUUUGCAUAAGUCUGUGAAGCAGUUGUUUUCAAAUGAACAAUCAAGAUGUCAUACAGUCACACAUGGGUAAAAGGCCCAUUCAGAGUGUGAGACGGGCACCUGGGUGGCACAGUCAGUUGAGUGUCUGAUGCUUGGUUUCUGCUCAGGUGGUGAGCUCGGGGUCAUGAGAUCUGGCCCCCCGUCAGGCUCCACGCUCAGCACGGAGUCUGCUGAAGACUCUCUCUCCUUCUCCCACUGUCCCCCACCCCUAAUGCAGGCGUGCACCGCCCCCCUGAUCUCAAAUGAAUAAAUAAAUCUUAAAAAAAAAAAAAAAGUGCAAGAUAGACCAGUGGAUUUUACUGUGGCAGAGUAGAAAAGUUCAGCAACACGGUUUCAGACUUUACAUCACAACAACCCUUAAUCAAAACUUGUGAAGUGUGUCUGUAGUACCAAAGAAUGUCCAUCGUUAUCUGAAAAGGCUAUUAAAAUACUGCUCCCUUUUCCAACUAUAUAACUGUGUGAGGCUAGGUUUUCUCUCUGCAUUUUAGCUGGAGCAAGCUAUUGCACCAGAGUGGGUGCAGAAGCAGAUCUGAGAAUCCAGCUGUCUUCCAUUAAGCUGGACAUUAAAGAGAUUUGGAGAUAUGUAAAACAGUGUCGCUCUUCUCACUAAACAUCUUCAUUCUGCAAACUAGAGUUUUUGUACAAUUCGAAGUAUUUUCAUUUCAUAAAAUAUGUGAAGUGUUAACA